AAAGCCUUAGCUUAAUUAAAGUGUCUGAGUUGCAAUCAGGUGAUGCAGUUUAAAGUGCUGUAGGUUUU
rnacentral:tRNA from 1 species